GUCUUUUUGAAUUUAAUAUAAAGUCUGACCUGCCCACUGAUAAUUGAAUGGCCGCAGUACACUAACUGUGCAAAGGUAGCAUAAUAAUUAGUCUUUUAAUUGAAGGCUGGAAUGAAUGGUUGGACAAGGUAUUAACUGUUUCAUAUAAAUUUAUAGUAGAAUUUUAUUUUUUAGUCAAAAAGCUAAAAUUUUAUUAAAAGACGAGAAGACCCUAUAAAGCUUUAUAGUCAUUUAAUUUUAUUUUAUUAGAUUUAUUUUAAUAAAAUUAUUUUGAGUAUUUUAUUGGGGUGAUAUUAAAAUUUUUUAAACUUUUAAUUUUAAAGAACAUUAAUUUAUGGUUUUUUGAUCCGAAUUUUUCGAUUAAAAAUUUAAGUUACUUUAGGGAUAACAGCGUAAUUUUUUUGGAGAGUUCAUAUCGAUAAAAAAGAUUGCGACCUCGAUGUUGGAUUAAGGAAUAAUUCUAG
rnacentral:rRNA from 1 species